rnacentral:misc_RNA from 1 species
AAGUCGUAACAAGGUUUCCGUAGGUGAACCUGCGGAAGGAUCAUCGCUGAGAUUGCUGAUUUUUUUCAGGCUUUUGGCUUGUUUUAAAUUGGACAACGAACAAAACAACUUGGACGCUCAAAGAAAGAGAUUUUUGUUUGGUUGGCUUUUUGCUGGGAUGUGGAUGUGGAUGUGGCCGCUGACUGUGUUGGUUGGUGGGUAACUUUUUAGUUAUUUGCUGGCUGGCAGGGCUGAUCUGAUCAAUCAAUCAAUCAAGAGUUGUUAGGAAAAAUGUGGUUGGCUGACUUUUUUAGUGUUGGGAAUAUGAAAAUUAAAACAACUUUCAACAACGGAUCUCUUGGCUCUCA